rnacentral:rRNA from 1 species
ACGAUGAAUGCUAAGUGUUGGAGGGUUUCCGCCCUUCAGUGCUGCAGCUAACGCAUUAAGCAUUCCGCCUGGGGAGUACGGCCGCAAGGCUGAAACUCAAAGGAAUUGACGGGGGCCCGCACAAGCGGUGGAGCAUGUGGUUUAAUUCGAAGCUACGCGAAGAACCUUACCAGGUCUUGACAUACUAUGCAAAUCUAAGAGAUUAGACGUUCCCUUCGGGGACAUGGAUACAGGUGGUGCAUGGUUGUCGUCAGCUCGUGUCGUGAGAUGUUGGGUUAAGUCCCGCAACGAGCGCAACCCUUAUUAUCAGUUGCCAGCAUUAAGUUGGGCACUCUGGUGAGACUGCCGGUGACAAACCGGAGGAAGGUGGGGAUGACGUCAAAUCAUCAUGCCCCUUAUGACCUGGGCUACACACGUGCUACAAUGGAUGGUACAACGAGUUGCGAACUCGCGAGAGUAAGCUAAUCUCUUAAAGCCAUUCUCAGUUCGGAUUGUAGGCUGCAACUCGCCUACAUGAAGUCGGAAUCGCUAGUAAUCGCGGAUCAGCAUGCCGCGGUGAAUACGUUCCCGGGCCUUGUACACACCGCCCGUCACACCAUGA